rnacentral:rRNA from 1 species
UACGUAGGUGGCGAGCGUUGUCCGGAUUUACUGGGCGUAAAGGGCGUGCAGGCGGUUUGUUAAGUGCAGGGUGAAAGCUCCCGGCUCAACUGGGAGAGGUCCUUGCAUACUGGCGAACUCGAGGGAGGCAGAGGAAAGUGGAAUUCCCGGUGUAGUGGUGAUAUGUGUAGAGAUCGGGAGGAACACCGGUGGCGAAGGCGGGUCUCUGGGCAAUUCCUGACGCUGAGGCGCGAAAGCGUGGGGAGCAAACGGG